rnacentral:rRNA from 1 species
UACGGAGGGUGCAAGCGUUAUCCGGAUUCACUGGGUUUAAAGGGAGCGUAGGAGGGCAGGUAAGUCAGACGUGAAAUCCCCCGGCUUAACCUGGGAACUGCGUCUGAUACUGGAAGGCUUGAGUAUGGGAGAGGGAUGUAGAAUUCCAGGUGUAGCGGUGAAAUGCGUAGAUAUCUGGAGGAAUACCGGUGGCGAAGGCGGCAUCCUGGACCAUUACUGACGCUGAGGCGCGAAAGCUAGGGGAGCAAACGGG